GACGGACGCUGGCGGCGUGCUUAACACAUGCAAGUCGAGCGGUAAGGCCCUUUCGGGGGUACACGAGCGGCGAACGGGUGAGUAACACGUGGGUGACCUGCCCUCAGCUCUGGGAUAAGCCUGGGAAACCGGGUCUAAUACUGGAUAUGACUCCAUGACGCAUGUUGUGGGGUGGAAAGCCUUGUGCGGCUGAGGAUGGGCCCGCGGCCUAUCAGCUUGUUGGUGGGGUGANGGCCUACCAAGGCGACGACGGGUAGCCGGCCUGAGAGGGCGACCGGCCACACUGGGACUGAGACACGGCCCAGACUCCUACGGGAGGCAGCAGUGGGGAAUCUUGCGCAAUGGGCGAAAGCCUGACGCAGCGACGCCGCGUGAGGGAUGACGGCCUC
rnacentral:rRNA from 1 species